UAAAAUAUCUUUUCUGGCCACAGUGGG
rnacentral:piRNA from 1 species